AAAGAGAGACUCAUGCGUGGAGAACGCGUGGUGGUGGUGGAGGCGGCGGCCCCAACAGGGGGGCCACCCCGCCGGAAUCAAUGGGCGGACGCCUGUCACGAUGCCGAGCGUGAUAUGACUAUCUGCGCUCGAGUGUGGUGAGGCUCCCAGCCCCGGGCCCAUGAGUUUGGGCAGGGAGAGCAAGAUAUU
rnacentral:misc_RNA from 1 species